GACGAACGCUGGCGGCGUGCUUAACACAUGCAAGUCGAACGGAAAGGCCCUGCUUUUGUGGGGUGCUCGAGUGGCGAACGGGUGAGUAACACGUGAGUAACCUGCCCUUGACUUUGGGAUAACUUCAGGAAACUGGGGCUAAUACCGGGUAGGAGCUCCUGCUGCAUGGUGGGGGUUGGAAAGUUUCGGCGGUUGGGGAUGGACUCGCGGCUUAUCAGCUUGCUGGUGGGGUAGUGGCUUACCAAGGCUUUGACGGGUAGCCGGCCUGAGAGGGUGACCGGCCACAUUGGGACUGAGAUACGGCCCAGACUCCUACGGGAGGCAGCAGUGGGGAAUAUUGCACAAUGGGCGGAAGCCUGAUGCAGCAACGCCGCGUGCGGGAUGACGGCCUUCGGGUUGUAAACCGCUUUCGCCUGUGACGAAGCGUGAGUGACGGUAAUGGGUAAAGAAGCACCGGCUAACUACGUG
rnacentral:rRNA from 1 species